rnacentral:rRNA from 1 species
GGAAUCUUGCACAAUGGAGGAAACUCUGAUGCAGCGAUGCCGCGUGAGUGAAUAAGGCCUUUGGGUUGUAAAGCUCUUUUGUAGGGGAAGAUAAUGACUGUACCCUAAGAAUAAGGUCCGGCUAACUUCGUGCCAGCAGCCGCGGUAAUGCGAAGGGACCUAGCGUAGUUCGGAAUUACCGGGCGUAAAGCGCGCGUAGGCCGUUGAGUUAGUUAAUUGUGAAAUCCCAAAGCUUAACUUUGGAACUGCAAUUAAAACUGCUCGACUAGAGUUUGAUAGAGGAAAGCGGAAUACAUAAUGUAGAGGUGAAAUUCGUAGAUAUUAUGUAGAACACCAGUUGCGAAGGCGGCUUUCUGGAUCAACACUGACGCUGAGGCGCGAAAGUAUGGGUAGCAAAGAGGAUUAGAUACCCUCGUAGUCCAUACCAUAAACGAUGAUUGCUAGAUGUUGGAAAUUUAUUUUCAGUAUCGCAGCUAACGCAUUAAGCAAUCCGCCUGGGGAGUACGACCGCAAGGUUAAAACUCAAAUGAAUUGACGG